CCUACGGGUGGCAGCAGUGGGGGAUAUUGCACAAUGGGGGAAACCCUGAUGCAGCGACGCCGCGUGUGGGAAGACGGUCCUCUGGAUUGUAAACCACUGUCCCCAGGGACGAAGAUGACGGUACCUGGGGAGGAAGCUCCGGCUAACUACGUGCCAGCAGCCGCGGUAAUACGUAGGGAGCGAGCGUUGUCCGGAAUUACUGGGUGUAAAGGGAGCGUAGGCGGGGAUGCAAGUUGGGUGUCAAAACUACCGGCUCAACUGGUAGUCGCACUCAAAACUGCAGCUAUUGAGUGACGUAGAGGCAGGCGACAUUCCUAUUGUAGCGGUGCACUGCUUAGAUAUUAGGCGGUCCCCCAGUGGCGCAGGCUGCCUGCUGGGCUUUUACUGACGCUGAGGCUCGAAAGUGUGGGGAGCAAACAGGAUUAGAUACCCGGGUAGUC
rnacentral:rRNA from 1 species